rnacentral:lncRNA from 1 species
GACUAUGUUUAAUACUCCUAAUUAGUAUCAAACAUCCGAUGUGACAGGUGCUAAAGUUUAGCGGGGUGUAUCCAAACACCCCGUUAAUCUGGGAAAGAUUAAAUCCUGCCAAUCCAUUCAAAUCUGAACAUGUCAAUCUAUCUAGCACAGAUGGAAUCAAUCCAGAUCAAUCCCAUGCAUGCAUAUACGCGAAUACUGAUAAGUGAGCAC